CUCAUUAGUCCUGCAUUACUUCCUGCAUAGUUACUUAUUAAUGACAGACCAUUAUUCUAAAGUGUUACCCUAUCCUCACAUUUAUAGGCUGCAGUAGAUCACCAUGUUAAGUUUUCACCAUACUGCAAUUAUGCCUCAUUUGCCAAUAGAAUAUGAAUUGUUAGGUGUGGUCACUGGUGUGGAAUUGCUUGUUGUGUAAGUAAUGAUGACAAAACAAACUCAUUCUGCUCGAUCAAUUAUGCAAUGCUAUUUUUUUUUCAGGAACACUGUUGAAGUACUUUGGAGCACAACCAACUCUACCCGCCCCUGAUGUUUCAAGUGUCAGUGCCUCCACAGCUGAUGAUACAGCAGGUUCAUCCACUGCAGAGUUACAAGCACCUGAAAGUGACGAGCAGUUACAAGCACUUACAUUCACUGAUACAUCAGUUUCAACCUCAGCCGGCAUGACAGGUCCUUCUACAUCUGCACCCACUACUAUAGAUUUCCCAUCCACUCCCUCAACAAGCUCCAGCUAUCAAGAUAGAUCAACAGCUCCUCCAGUUGACCCAGUUGAAUGGUCAGAAUUCCUGUCAGACUCAGAAAGGACUGAUCUGGUAAAAAGAGGGCCAGUGCCAAUAAGUGACACCUUCACCUUCCCCAAGAAAUCAGAUGGACGAAGCUUUCACUACCACUAUACAUACAGACAAUUAGUUAAU